rnacentral:lncRNA from 1 species
CCGACUACGUCCUCUUUUUUGUACCAAAAGGCCGACACUAACAGAGCAGGUAGCAAAUGACGGAAAGGGGAAAGUACUGAAUAAGACUAACAGAUAGGCACGCACAAUAGAAAGAAUAGAAGGAAAGGGGCCUGGUCGUUUCUAUGUCCCCAGUUGCAUUUGGUAGGCAAUCCAGAGGCAGGGGAUCACCCAAUGACUCACUCAAUCUAAAUGGAGUGAGGCCUAGCGUCGGAGUUGCGUAACUAUGAUCAGGUAGAAAGCCUCAGUUAGAGUAGAGUGACCGGGCUAUGAAG